rnacentral:rRNA from 1 species
UACGAAGGGGGCUAGCGUUGCUCGGAAUCACUGGGCGUAAAGGGCGCGUAGGCGGCCUUGUAAGUUGGGGGUGAAAGCCCGUGGCUCAACCACGGAAUUGCCUUCGAUACUGCUUGGCUUGAGACCGGAAGAGGUGAGUGGAACUGCGAGUGUAGAGGUGAAAUUCGUAGAUAUUCGCAAGAACACCAGUGGCGAAGGCGGCAUCCUGGGCCAACACUGACGCUGAGUGAGCGAAAGCCAGGGGAGCAAACGGG